rnacentral:rRNA from 1 species
AACCUCCGCAAUGUGAGAAAUCGCGACGGGGGGAUCCCAAGUGCCAUUCUUAACGGGAUGGCUUUUCAUUAGUGUAAAGAGCUUUUGGAAUAAGAGCUGGGCAAGACCGGUGCCAGCCGCCGCGGUAACACCGGCAGCUCUAGUGGUAACAAUUUUUAUUGGGCCUAAAGCGUCCGUAGCCGGUUUAAUAAGUCUCUGGUGAAAUCCUGUAGCUUAACUGUGGGAAUUGCUGGAGAUACUAUUAGACUUGAGACCGGGAGAGGUUAGAGGUACUCCCAGGGUAGAGGUGAAAUUCUGUAAUCCUGGGAGGACCGCCUGUUGCGAAGGCGCCUAACUGGAACGGUUCUGACGGUGAGGGACGAAAGUUAGGGGCGCGAACCGGAUUAGAUACCCGGGUAGUCCUAACUGUAACGAUGCGGACUUGGUGUUGGGGUGGCUUUGAGCUGCUCCAGUGCCGAAGGGAAGCUGUUAAGUCCGCCGCCUGGGAAGUACGGUCGCAAGACUGAAACUUAAAGGAAUU